rnacentral:misc_RNA from 1 species
GAACGCACCUUGCACCCUUUGGUAUUCCGAAGGGUAUGCCCGUUUGAGUGUCAUUGUAAUCUCACACCCCUAGAUUUAUUCGACGGGCGGUGGACUUGGAUGCUGCCGCGUUAAGCGGCUCGUCUUAAAUGCAUUAGUGCAACUUUCGGUUGGACAUAGUACAGCGUGAUAAGUAUCUUCGCUGGCUCUCCUCACGGAGGUGUUCGAACGUUAAGCUCUGUGCUUCUAAUCGUCCCCUGGUGGACUAAGCUUCGGCUUACUUGACAACUUGACCUCAAAUCGGGUAGGACUACCCGCUGAACUUAAG